UACGUAGGGUGCGAGCGUUGUCCGGAAUUAUUGGGCGUAAAGAGCUUGUAGGUGGUUUGUCGCGUCUGCUGUGAAAAUCCGAGGCUCAACCUCGGACUUGCAGUGGGUACGGGCAGACUAGAGUGUGGUAGGGGAGACUGGAAUUCCUGGUGUAGCGGUGGAAUGCGCAGAUAUCAGGAGGAACACCGAUGGCGAAGGCAGGUCUCUGGGCCAUUACUGACACUGAGAAGCGAAAGCCAUGGGGAGCGAACAGG
rnacentral:rRNA from 1 species